CAAGAAGUCUAGGAGAACAUGAAUCAGCCCCGCAUGGACACCCGUGGCAUUUAAGCCCGAAAGGAAACUUGACUGGUAGCCGAAGUCAGCAAUGGAUGCCAAGCAGGCUGUGCCAUGUUGGGGGACUGAGGGGUGGGGACCGGCUCCUGAGCAUGGCUGGUGGCCACGGAGGCCCCACCUUGUGAGGCCACUAUGUCCCCUUUGGCCCUACACAUCAGACUCCACCCUUCCCAGCAGACUCUCUGACCCUUUCAGCUCUGACCACAAAGGGUGGAACUUAAUGAGCUGGGAACCCAAUUUCUCACUGGUUUUGGUAAAUUAAAAGCGAUAAAAUGAGUAAUCCAUUAAAGUCAUCAUUUUUCCUAACUGAAAAAAAAAAGUAUGACAACUCUGUUGAGACUUGACCUCUUUGAAAUAAAGGCUGUUACUUUCUGGGAGCUUUUUUUUUUUUUUUUUUUUUUUGAGACAAGGUCUUGCUCUGUCACCCAGGCUGGAGUGCAGUGGUGUGAUCACAGCUCACUGCAGCCUUGACUUCCUGGGCAUAGGUGACCCUCCUGCCUCAGCCUCUCAAGUAGCUGUGACUACAGGUGUGCGCUACCAUGCUCAGCUAAUUUUUGUAUUUUUUGUAGAGACAGGGUUUCGCCAUGUUGCCCAAGCUGUUCUCGAACUCCUGAACUCAAGCCAUUCACCCGCCUUGGCCUCCCAAAGUGCUGGGAUUAUAGGCGUGAACCACCAUGCCUGGCAUCUGGCAGGUAUUCUGAGAUUUAAAUCUUUAGAUACUGCAGUUUACUCAUUGUCCUUUGUUGUCAUGGAGUUUAUAGAAAAGGCUAUUUAGGAACUAAUGCUGUCUUAAUUAUUUUCUCUGUCUCUCCUCUGCCUCUUCGAAUGUACAUGUGUAGGUGUAUGUGUGUGUAUAUGUACGUGUUUCUUUUUAUACUUGGCUUUUUGUAGCCAUCAUUUUUUAUCUUUUAGAAUGCCCCCACCACACAUUCAGCAUAGAUUUGCUUUUCAGAAUUUUGAACAUUGAGAAUUCUUUGAAUAUUUUCUAAUACCUGAACAUUUACCUUUAUAUGUCUGCAGCCUGUGGACAGGUGUGUAGAAUAGCAGACUGUCAGACUUGGGAGGACCAUGAGGCUAUUGACUUGGACCUUCCAUCUCAUCAAGCAGGAAUUCUCCCAAGGAACCACCGCCCUGACCUAUCCCAGGGGUCAGGCCUGCCUAAACCAGGCUUGAGUUUUGUAUAUAUUGCUCAGCUCAGUUGUAGAGCUCAGGUGUGAUAACUCUGCCUAAGAGGGGAUGAGGAGGAGGGCUAAAUGGAGGGAAAAGUGGUACAGGAGAGAAAAUAGAGAGAAAGGGACAUUAUAAGGGUGGGACUGGGGUCAGAGGCUGGGAACUGGGGGCUGGGGGAGAUCUAUCAGAAGAGAGCAGGCUGCAGGGACGUCCUCCUGGGUUCCUGCUGUGUCAUGCGUCUGACCUUUUGUGUCUCUUUCUCAAACCCUGUUGAUGUAUCAGCCCCAUUUUCCUGAGAACGUCCCUGUGGCUUCCUCAGAGGGACCACACAACGUCCAGAGACCACCGUGUGACUUUCAGAGAUAACAGCGACAGUUCCUGGCAACAUUUGCUCCCUCCCCCACCUCCAUCCUUCAUCCUCCUCCUCAGAGAAUUUUAUUUGGCUUUGGGCAACAUGAAAGUCAACUCCACAGAGUGCAGAGGGAGUCAGAGAGCCCAGUCCUCAUCUCAUCUGGUCAGCUUCUUUUUUCUUUUUUUCUUUUUCCUUUUUUUUGAGAUGGAGUCUUGCUCUGUCACCCAGGCUGUAGUGUAGUGGCCCAGUCUCGGCUCACUGCAAGCUCCGCCUCCCAGGUUCAC
rnacentral:lncRNA from 1 species